rnacentral:rRNA from 1 species
UACGUAGGGGGCUAGCGUUGUCCGGAAUCAUUGGGCGUAAAGAGCGUGUAGGCGGCUCGGUAAGUCCGCUGUGAAAGUCCGGGGCUCAACCUCGGAUCGGCCGUGGCGACUCGUGGGCUGGAGCACUGUAGAGGCGGGUGGGAAUUCCGGGUGUAGCGGUGGAAUGCGUAGAGAUCCGGAAGAACACCAGUGGCGAAGGCGGCCCGCUGGGCAGCUGGCUGACGCUGAAGCGCGACAGCGUGGGGAGCAAA